GCCUUCGUGAUGUAGUGGUCAGCACGCUCGACGCGUAACCGAGAGGUCCGUGGUUCGAUUCCCGGCGAAGGGG
rfam:Stegodyphus mimosarum contig64123, whole genome shotgun sequence.